GAAAGGGAAGGAUCUGUGUCCAAAUACAUUCAGCCAUGCUGGUAACAGGCAGCAGUCGGCUCUUCUCCAGGGCCGUCUGAGAGCUCUCCUCACGUCUCAGCAGCAGCCUCGGGAGACGGGCCGUGACCUCAGGGCACCUCUCCCGGCGGUGGCUUCGUUUCCUUCUCAUUUUGCAAGCGCUGCAGCAUCAGCAAAGCCGCGUACGCAGCCCGCUGUGGGCAGCUCGGAUCACCCUCAGCACAGCGCAGCCGGAAUGUGACUGGGAGAUCCCAGGGUUAUGCAACCGCGCACGCGCACUUCCUGCCACAGAACGAGUUUGCGGCUCCUGGGGUUUGUUGCUCUUCCUUUCAGGAAUCAGAGUGAAAAGAUUUUUGUUAAAUUGUGUGCCUAGUGGUGUUCUCUGCAAGGGCAAGGAGAAAUGUGACUGUGUCACGCCAGGUGACGGGAACUUCUGUCACCUCUGAGGACCUCGCUCUCACAUGUCGCUGGUUUUAACUGCUUAGGUGGGCAAAUGGAUAGACGUGGAAGCAAGAGAGGCACCACGCAGCAGUGGGGUUUUAGGGUGACCAUCCGGAAGGACAACAGAGCAGGCUUUCAAGAAAGACACAAUCUCGAUGCAAAUGACCAAGAGGCAAGAGCGAGAUAUUUUCCAGCAGACGGGCCUGGGCACCUGAAGAUCUGUCUAUAGAAAGAGCCAGUGCACACCUCAUUCAGCCCUGCCUUUCCCAGGAAAUUUCCAGUUACAGUGACCAAGCAGGGGACAUGGGGCCCAGAGGACCAGGUACUGAGUGUCCCCAGGACAGACAAUCUCCCCAACUCCCCUCCCCCAAGAGCACCUACGGGCAGAGCGGAGUCAUGUCUACAAACCAUGCUCUGUAACCUGGGUCUCCAAAGGAUCCCCUGAGUUCAUGUAAAGAUUGUUUCCUACAUUUUUUUCCUGUACUACCUUUUACAAAUUUAAAAGAUGGCUCUGAAAUCAAAAUCCAGUCGAUAGCUCCCACCGAAUCCCGUCGUAUCCUCUGAGAUUUUACUGAGCAGGCAGAUUGUUUCCAACAACGCAUGCCUAGUUGGCCUUGAGUCCUGGGAUAAGUUGUCAAUGAGAUGUCACCAUAUAGACAACGAUACCCAUCAUCAGAUAACUUUAGAUGGUGCCCCUGGACCGUGCCACAUGUGAUAGACUGAAUAUUUGUGUCCCACCAUCCAUAUGUUCAACCCCAACCCCAAUGUGACUAUAUCCGGUGAUGGGGCUUUUCCAGAAGUACUUAAGAUUAAAGGAGGUAUAAGGAUGGGACCCUGAGGCAAUAGAACUCAUGUCCUCCUUAAGAAGAGACACUAGAGAGGUUUUUCUCUCUUCUAUGCACACAAAAGGAGGUCAUGUGAGCACACGGGGAUGGUGGCCUAUUACAAUCCAAGAGGAAAUGCCUCAGAAUGAAACCAAUCUUGAGGGCACCUUCAUCUCGGACUUUCAGCCUCCAGAAUUUAUUUGGGGUGUGUGAAAAUCCUUCGGGUGCAAGCUGAUCACGUAAGUCUCCUGGGUUCAGGUGUCUAACCACACUGUGCUUGGAACAAGGCCGUCCCAGUGCUAAGUUGUGUGAUGUGGCCGCACUGAUGUGGAAGGAGGAAUGGAAGGAGGAAAGUCCCAUCUGGAGAUCUCUGUCCCAGCAAAACCACUUCUCUCCUUACCCAUCUCACUCAUUUGAGUCUAGAAGAUUCUGGGAGGUUCUGCCUUGAGUAGGUGAUGCAUUGCCUCCCUCACUACAUGGUUCCGUCCCAAUGGGGAGCUGAUGGGGAGCUACCACAUGGGCCGCAGGAACAGUGCCCGGACAGAAGCAGGGUGCCAGGAGCUGGCUCAGAGGGGAGGAAAGGAGAGGCGGGAGCAUCAGGGCCUUGGCCAUCGGCUGGUAAAGCAAGAUUCCGAUUUGUAUAAUACCCUCCGUUGCACUUUUCAAAUGGCCCUCACACAGGACUAUACCCCUUCCUGCUUCAAAGCCACACUUUCUCCCUCCUCCUGCCUUCCCACUUGGGUUCCUUUCAGCAAUUACACGCUGCUCAGGCCAUUUAUGUGGCUAUUGGCCUGAGGCCCGGGGAGGGAGAUAGUGCCUCCAUGUUGGUCUCAGAGGGUUUUAUUGAUAAAGCUUGCCAAACCAACCUUUCUGAUGGUCAACAUACAGCGCCAAGACAGGAAAGUCGGUACACAUGUCCUCACUCUGGCAUCCUAAAUUCUAGGACUGGAUUUUAGUUGAAACGAGAAAGCAGAGUCCAUUGCGGUUUUUGCUGUGGGAACCGUAUUUCUCCCGCCGUGGUCACAGGUGACACAUUUUGCAUUGUUGUGCAGCUGACCCACUGGGACUACUCAUUACGGGUGGCACUGCUAUCGCAGUCACGCCUUUCUGCAUGAGAUGUGAACCCACAGCCCAUUAGGAGGCUGUCCUCCAGGGUAGACGCCGACUCUGCCAAAAAUCCUUCCAGGUGUGGCCUUGGUCUCCAGAAUGGAGUCAGUUUGCAGGAGGAGCCCUUAAUCUUUGAGCACAAGCAGCUGAUUUUCCCUUUCUUUUCUAAACACAGCGUCACUGAGGCUGUGGUCACAUGGAAGAACUGGUGCAGGGCAGCAUCACCUCAUUCAAGAAGCCAAAUUCGAUAGUUAAACCUACCAGCCUUCAGUGGUCCUAAAAUAAGACUAGGGACAUGUUCCAUUCUAGAAUCUGUGAAUAAUUUGCUUGUUAAGUUGGGCCAACAAUUGAACUGGUAGCUGUUCGUCCCUUGAUUGGCAUCUAGGCAAGAAUUAGAGAAUUAGACACGCCUCAAACAUUUGGUCUGGAAAAUACACAAAAUAAUGACUCCAAAAUCCAUCACUAGGGACAAUGGGGAUUUGUCAGCUGUAGUCUCAGGUACCAAAUUAGUAUCUUUGCUCCAUCCCUAGGCCAUCUACCAUUCUUCCUUUUAUCCCUAUGCCCCCUCCCAUUCCUCCUCCCUCCCUCCUUCCUUCCUUCCACCAGUAUGUCUUAUAUGCCCGUAUUAUGCUGGGCCCCAGAGAAAGAAAGAUGAAAGCCCACAUUUUCUCUCCUUGCUGAGCUCCUCGUUCUAUCAGGGAAUCUCCAUUUGAUCCGUGAACUGUGAUAACGGUGUGAAGGAAGUUUGCACAGAGAGCUGCAGGAACACAGAUGAAGGUCGACCAGUGCAGGACUCCUGUGCUUCCCAUUUGCUUCCUCCAGAGGGGCUGCAGCGUUGAUUCUCAGAGGCUGAAGAGGAGUCAGAUGGGCAAAAGGCCAGGUGGGGUCAGGGGGUUCCAAGUCUGUGGAAUACUGUGUGUGAAGAUGUGGACCAGAGCACGGCGUGUUUUAGGGCACGUGGUGGUUCCUCAUGAUUCAGUUUGAGGUCCAGUUGAUGUGGAGGAAAGGGGGGCUGCAGACACAGGCUGAAGCUUGAAGGGCCUCAUUUCCUCCACUCAGAAGUCUGGAAUUUGUUGCAAUGGGAGUCACUUUAAGGACUUUAAAGAAGGGUGU